CAAAUCAGAUGAGUAGAGCAGAUGAACUGCCUUCUACAUUAGUCAUCUUCUGGAAUUUCAGCAUGAGUAAAACACAAGUUUACCAAGAUAAAAGAACGGUGUUGAGUUCUACUGGACAUUUACAGUAUUGGGAGUUGGAUACAGACAUGAAAAGUUGGAACUUUAUAUGGUGGGAGCCAAACAACAACUGUAGUAUGUUCAAUUUUUGUGGCAACUUUGGCACCUGCAAUGUCAAAAGUUGGUUGCCAUGCAAAUGUUUACCCGGUUUCAAACCUAAAUUCUUGGAAAAAU